CUUUUUUUUUUUUUUUUUUAAAAGUAAAAAAAAAGAAGAAAAAGAAAAAGUCCCCUUGGUUAAGUUUGUAGAAUUUUAUACUUCUUAGAGGGACUAUGUAUGUUUAGUACAUGGAAGUUUGAGGCAAUAACAGGUCUGUGAUGCCCUUUAGAUGUUCUGGGCCGCACGCGCGCUACACUGACAAGUUCAACGAGUUUAACACCUUGAUCGAAAGGUCUGGGUAAUCUUUUUAAAACUUGUCGUGCUGGGGAUAGAUUAUUGCAAUUAUUAGUCUUCAACGAGGAAUUCCUAGUAAGCGUGAGUCAUCAGCUCGCGUUGAUUACGUCCCCUGCCCUUUGUACACACCGCCCGUCGCUCCUACCGAUUGAAUGGUCCGGUGAAGUUUCCGGAGUAUAGCCACAUUUUUAACUUGUUGGGGUAACUUAGCAGGUUUUGUGGUUUUUUGUACAAAGUUAACUAAACCAUAUCAUUUAGAGGAAGGGCACCACCAGGAGUGGAGCCUGCGGC
rnacentral:rRNA from 1 species